rnacentral:rRNA from 1 species
UCCUACGGGAGGCAGCAGUGAGGAAUAUUGGACAAUGGGCGCAAGCCUGAUCCAGCCAUGCCGCGUGCAGGAUGACGGUCCUAUGGAUUGUAAACUGCUUUUGCACAGGAAGAAACACUCCCUCGUGAGGGAGCUUGACGGUACUGUAAGAAUAAGGAUCGGCUAACUCCGUGCCAGCAG